rnacentral:lncRNA from 1 species
CAAAAUCUGAAAUCCUGGGUUUCUUUGGCCAGCAAAAUAAAUAUGACACAAAAGCCUAUUCAUGUACAUCAAAAUCAAGUCUGUGCCAAAACUCUACUUGCUUAACAUAAAGUCUGGCAGGGGAGAUGCAGAAAUCCCUUGCCUGAAGAUCAGAUGGAAAUUUCUAGUUUAAACUCCCAGUCAUUGUGAAGCCAACUUUCAAACUCACUUGGGGCUGGAGGGUAACACAAGAUCUCAAGUGUUUUCCAAAUCCAAGCAGGAUCCAAGCUGGGAGAUCCACCGUGGAAGAGAAGAACCACCAAACCUCCAGACUGGGCGGCUGUCCCAGGCUCUCAAGCACAGAGAAACACAGCGAAGCUGAAGUUGAAGAAGUAGCUACAGUUUCCGGGCCUCAAACAAUGGCAAUUAAAAACAAAAAAACUUUUUAUUUGAAAAUAAUUAUAGAUUCACAGGAAGUGGCAAAAACAGUGCAGACUGGCCCCGUGUACCCUUUGCCUAGUUUCCCCCGACGUUUACAUCUUACGUCACGAAAGUACAACAUCAAAACCAGGAAACUGACGUUGGGACAAUCCGCAGACCUUAUUCAGAUUUCAGCAAUGGCGUUUUAGUCACCCGAAAGGGCUCUCAAACACGAUAUGACCAGGAAUCCCAGCUGUGCUCUCCAGAAGGAUCCGCCACGCUUGCCAAUCCACACCACGGCGGUUCCGAAAGCUGCCUCCCCUCUGCCAUCCAUUCCUAAGGCAAGUGGGAAGAAACGUCACCUCCCGCUCCACAAUUUCUCAGGGAAGCCGAGGAGGCCAGCGUGACGGGGGAGCAGAGUGGACAUCCCAGGACACAGCUGCGCCUGCCUGCUCUUUCCCUGUGCUCUGGCGGCCUGUCCUGGGCCUUACACCAACGCGAUGAACAGGGGAAACGGGGUGCUGAGCCUCUGCGUGAAAGGGGGCUUGUUUAGUCUCCUACCUGCCCGCUUAGAAAAUGUUCUCAAAGGUCAGGCACGGUGGUUCAUGCCUGUAAUCCCAGCACUUUGGGAGGCCAAGGCGGCUGGAUUGCUUGAGGCUAGGAGUUCGAGAGCAGCCUGGCCAACAUGGCAAAACCCCGUCUCUACUAAAAAAAACAAAAAAAUUAGCCGGGCACGGCGGCACAUGCCCGAGAUCCCAGCUAUUCGGGAGGCUGAGACACGAGAAUCGCUUGAACCCGGGAGAUGGAGGUUUUGGGGAAAAAAAGAAAAUGUCCUCAGAGUCUGCCCUGCCAUCACCUUGAGAGUGACCUGUGCCCCAGUUUUCUCAUCUGUGUAGUGGGGUUAAGAACAGAACCCACCUCGUAGGUUGAUUAGGCAGGUUCAGUAGGGUGAUAUUUGUAAAGAGCUUGGAACAUGCCAGGUGCAUAAUAACUGUACAUAUGUGUUUGAUAAAUUAAUCAAAAUAAAAUACAAUAUCUGUAAACGAUUUCACAGGAGAGCAAAGCUAGUGCUAAGGCUUUUCCAAAUAGCCUGGAGUGUGUGAGGCUUUUGGAAGCAUGGAGGUCUUUGACAGAGCAUUUAAUUUAUAUGGGGGACGCUUUUUGCGUGCAAAAUUGAUUUGAUAUGCAAAUAAACUGGAGUUGAUUGAAGAUUAUUAACCACAUGCUCUGAAUAGUGGUUGUGUUUGAGAAAAAAACAUCAGUCCUCCCUCCCAAGGGCCUUGUUAAUAAGUCAGGUUUUUCUCCCCGGUCCCUGCCCUCCUCCCUUGCUGGUUUCUCAACACCUAACCAUGCCAGGUCUAUAAAGUAAUUGCAGGUAUAUUUGCAAGGCCGGGGCUGGAUUUGAAUGUACG